rnacentral:rRNA from 1 species
GGGCUCACACAAGCGGUGGAGGAUGUGGCUUAAUUCGAGGCUACGCGAAGAACCUUAUCCUAGUCUUGACAUGCACGGAUCAACCCGGUGAAAGCCGGGCCACGCCUUCGGGUGGAACGUGCACAGGUGCUGCAUGGCUGUCGUCAGCUCGUGUCGUGAGAUGUCGGGUUAAGUCCCUUAACGAGCGAAACCCUUGUCUCUAGUUGCCAGCGAGUUAUGUCGGGGACUCUAGAGAGACCGCCGGCGUUAAGCCGGAGGAAGGUGGGGAUGACGUCAAGUCCUCAUGGCCUUUAUGACUAGGGCUGCACACGUCCUACAAUGCCGCGUACAAAGGGAAGCAAGCUCGCGAGAGUAAGCAAAUCCCAAAAAACGCGGCCCAGUUCGGAUUGCAGGCUGCAACUCGCCUGCAUGAAGCCGGAAUCGCUAGUAAUCGCGGGUCAGCAUACCGCGGUGAAUGUGUUCCUGAGCCUU